AUUGAACGCUGGCGGCAUGCUUUACACAUGCAAGUCGAACGGCAACGAGGAGAAGCUUGCUUCUCUGUCGGCGAGUGGCGAACGGGUGAGUAUAGCAUCGGAACGUGCCAAGUAGUGGGGGAUAACCAAACGAAAGUUUGGCUAAUACCGCGUAAGCUCCAAGGAGGAAAGUAGGGGACCUAAAUAAGGCCUUACGCUAUUUGAUCGGCCGAUGUCGGAUUAGCUAGUUGGUGGGGUAAUGGCUCACCAAGGCAAUGAUCCGUAGCGGGUCUGAGAGGACGAUCCGCCACACUGGGACUGAGACACGGCCCAGACUCCUACGGGAGGCAGCAGUGGGGAAUUUUGGACAAUGGGGGAAACCCUGAUCCAGCCAUGCCGCGUGUAUGAAGAAGGCCUUAGGGUUGUAAAGUACUUUUGUUAGGGAAGAAAAGCUAGUUUUUAAUAAAAAUUAGUGAUGACGGUACCUAAAGAAUAAGCACCGGCUAACUACG
rnacentral:rRNA from 1 species